rnacentral:rRNA from 1 species
CCUACGGGAGGCAGCAGUGGGGAAUAUUGCGCAAUGGGGGGAACCCUGACGCAGCAACGCCGCGUGCAGGAAGAAGGUCUUCGGAUUGUAAACUGUUGUCGCAGGGGAAGAAGACAGUGACGGUACCCUGUGAGAAAGUCACGGCUAACUACGUGCCAGCAGCCGCGGUAAUACGUAGGUGACAAGCGUUGUCCGGAUUUACUGGGUGUAAAGGGCGCGUAGGCGGAUGUGCAAGUCAGUCGUGAAAUACCGGGGCUCAACCCCGGGGCUGCGAUUGAAACUGCACACCUUGAGUAUCGGAGAGGAAAGCGGAAUUCCUAGUGUAGCGGUGAAAUGCGUAGAUAUUAGGAGGAACACCAGUGGCGAAGGCGGCUUUCUGGACGACAACUGACGCUGAGGCGCGAAAGUGUGGGGAGCAAACAGGAUUAGAUACCCUUGUAGUC